AACAACAACACAGAAUUUACUAAUGACGAAAGUAUCGCAAAGGCCGCAAACAAAUCGGUGGGCGAGG
rnacentral:sRNA from 1 species